GAAAGGAAACCAACAGGGAUUGCCCCAGUAACGGCGAGUGAAGCGGCAAGAGCUCAAAUUUGAAAGCUGGCUCCUUCGGGGUCCGCAUUGUAAUUUGCAGAGGAUGCUUCGGGAGCGGUCCCCAUCUAAGUGCCCUGGAACGGGACGUCAUAGAGGGUGAGAAUCCCGUAUGGGAUGGGGUGUCCGCGCCCGUGUGAAGCUCCUUCGACGAGUCGAGUUGUUUGGGAAUGCAGCUCUAAAUGGGUGGUAAAUUUCAUCUAAAGCUAAAUAUUGGCCGGAGACCGAUAGCGCACAAGUAGAGUGAUCGAAAGAUGAAAAGCACUUUGAAAAGAGAGUUAAAAAGCACGUGAAAUUGUUGAAAGGGAAGCGCUUGCGACCAGACUCGCUCGCGGGGUUCAGCCGGCAUUCGUGCCGGUGUAUUUCCCCGCGGGCGGGCCAGCGUCGGUUUGGGCGGUCGGUCAAAGGCCCUCGGAAGGUAACGCCCCUAGGGGCGUCUUAUAGCCGAGGGUGCAAUGCGAC
rnacentral:rRNA from 1 species